UCAAGUUAUUAAGGGUGCAGGGCGGAUGCCUUGGCACUAGGAGCCGAUGAAGGACGUGAUAAGCUGCGAUAAGCUUCGGGGAGUUGCACGUAAACUUUGAUCCGAAGAUUUCCGAAUGAGGAAACUCACUUAGAGUAAUGUCUAAGUAUCAUUAAGUGAAUACAUAGCUUAAUGAGGGGAACUCAGGGAACUGAAACAUCUAAGUACCUGAAGGAAGAGAAAGAAAUUCGAUUCCGUAAGUAGCGGCGAGCGAACGCGGAUUAGCCCAAACCAAUAAAGUUUUCUUUGUUGGGGUUGCGGACAUAUCAUAACGAAGAGGUAUCGUAAUUGAAGAGGUUUGGAAAGACCCACCACAGAAGGUAAUAGUCCUGUAUGUUAAACGAGAAGACUUUAGAUAUGAUCCAGAGUACCACGGGACACGUGAAACCCUGUGGGAAGCAGGAGGGACCACCCUCCAAGGCUAAAUACUACCUAGUGACCGAUAGCGUAUAGUACCGUGAGGGAAAGGUGAAAAGAACCCCGGGAGGGGAGUGAAAUAGAACCUGAAACCCUGCACUUACAAGCUGUGGAAGCACAUUUCUUGUGUGACCGCGUACUUUUUGUAGAACGGGCCAACGAGUUACGUUAAGUAGCAAGGUUAAGCACUUAAGGUGCGGAGCCGUAGCGAAAGCGAGUUUUAACUGAGCGUUCAGUUACUUGACGUAGACCCGAAACCGGGCGACCUACCCAUGAGCAGGAUGAAGCGAAAGUAAAAUUUCGUGGAGGUCCGAACCCACGAGCGUUGAAAAGCUCGGGGAUGACUUGUGGGUAGCGGUGAAAUUCCAAUCGAGCCCGGAGAUAGCUGGUUCUCCCCGAAAUAGCUUUAGGGCUAGCCUCAAGGUGAGAGAUACGGAGGUAGAGCACUGAAUGUCCUAGGGGGUAUUGCACCUACCGAAGACUAUCAAACUCCGAAUGCCGUCAUCUUAUACUUGGGAGUCAGACUGUGGGUGAUAAGAUUCAUAGUCGAAAGGGCAACAGCCCAGAUCGUCAGCUAAGGUCCCUAAAUGUAAGUUAAGUGGUAAAGGAUGUGGGAUUGCACAGACAACCAGGAUGUUGGCUUAGAAGCAGCCACUCAUUCAAAGAGUGCGUAAUAGCUCACUGGUCGAGUGAUCCUGCGCCGAAGAUUUCCGGGGCUAAAACUUACUACCGAAGCUACGGCAUCAGUAAUGAUGGGUAGGGGAGCUUCCCAUACGGGUUGAAGCAUGACCGUAAGGACAUGUGGACAGUAUGGGAGUGAGAAUGUUGGCAUGAGUAGCGAGAUGUGGGUGGGAAUCCCACAGGCCGUAAACCCAAGGUUUCCAGGGGAAGGUUCGUCCGCCCUGGGUUAGUCGGGACCUAAGCUGAGGCCGAAAGGCGUAGGUGAUGGACAACAGGUUGAUAUUCCUGUACUACCGAUAACCGUUUGAGAGAAGGGAUGACACAGUAGGAUAAGCUAAGCACACUGUUGGUUAUGUGUGCCCAAGCAUUGAGGCAGUCAAAGUAGGCAAAUCCGCUUUGAUAAUGCUGGGAUGUGAUGGGGAGCGAAAUUUAGUAGCGAAGUAGCUGAUUUCACACUGUCAAGAAAAGUCUCUAUCGAGGUUAAAGGUACCCGUACCGCAAACCGACACAGGUGGGUGAGGAGAGUAUCCUAAGGCCAGCGAGAGAACUGUUGUUAAGGAACUCGGCAAAAUGACCCCGUAACUUAGGGAUAAGGGGUGCCACCAUCAGGUGGCCGCAGAGAAUAGGCCCAAGCGACUGUUUACCAAAAACAUAGGUUUCUGCUAAGUCGCAAGACGAUGUAUAGGAGCUGACGCCUGCCCGGUGCUGGAAGGUUAAGGGGAUCUGUUAGAGCAAUCGAAGCAGUGAACUUAAGCCCCAGUAAACGGCGGCCGUAACUAUAACGGUCCUAAGGUAGCGAAAUUCCUUGUCGGGUAAGUUCCGACCCGCACGAAAGGCGUAACGAUUUGGGCACUGUCUCAACAACAGACUCGGUGAAAUUGUAAUUCCGGUGAAGAUGCCGGAUACCUGCGACAGGACGGAAAGACCCCAUGGAGCUUUACUGUAGCUUGACAUUGGGUCUUGGUACUACAUGUACAGGAUAGGUGGGAGGCUUUGAAACCAGGACGCCAGUUUUGGCGGAGCCAUCCUUGGGAUACCACCCUUGUAGUACUGGGACUCUAACCAUAGGCCAUGAAUCUGGUCUUGGGACACUGUCAGGUGGGCAGUUUGACUGGGGCGGUCGCCUCCCAAAAGGUAACGGAGGCGCUCAAAGGUUCUCUCAGUACGGUCGGAAAUCGUACGUAGAGUGUAAAGGCAAAAGAGAGCUUGAUUGCAAGACAUACAGGUCGAGCAAGGAUGAAAAUCGGACUUAGUGAUCCGGUGGUUCUGCGUGGAAGGGCCAUCGCUCAACGGAUAAAAGCUACCCUGGGGAUAACAGGCUUAUCUCCCCCAAGAGUCCACAUCGACGGGGAGGUUUGGCACCUCGAUGUCGGCUCAUCACAUCCUGGGGCUGUAGUAGGUCCCAAGGGUUGGGCUGUUCGCCCAUUAAAGUGGUACGCGAGCUGGGUUCAGAACGUCGUGAGACAGUUCGGUCCCUAUCCGUCGCAGGCGUAGGAAAUUUGAGAAGACCUGUCCUUAGUACGAGAGGACCGGGAUGGACGUACCUCUGGUGUACCAGUUGUCCUGCCAAGGGCAUGGCUGGGUAGCUAUGUACGGAAUGGAUAAGCGCUGAAAGCAUCUAAGCGCGAAGCCAACUUCAAGAUAAGAUUUCCCACCGCAAGGGUAAGACCCCAGAAAGACUAUCUGGUUGAUAGGUCGAAGGUGUAAGUGCAGCAAUGUAUUUAGCUUAUCGAUACUAAUAGGUCGAGGACUUGACCAA
rnacentral:rRNA from 1 species